rfam:Gossypium hirsutum cultivar TM-1 chromosome 11, whole genome shotgun sequence
UAUUAAAAAAUUAUUUAUUUGUAUUGUUAAAAGUUGAUGUGCUUGACGGAAUAACCAAAUAAUGGCACGUGGUGUGUCAUGUGUAUGUCAUGUUGACGUUUAUGGACUAACUUUUAACAAUAAAAACGGAUGGAAUUUUUAAUA